UGGCUCAGUAACACGUGGAGAAUCUAACCUUUGGUGGAGGAUAAUCUCGGGAAACUGAGAAUAAUACUCCAUAAACAUAGGAUGCUGGAAUGCUUCUAUGUUGAAAGGCAACGCCAAAGGAUGACUCUGCGACCUAUCAGGCUGUAGUGAGUGUAAUGGACUCACUAACCUGCAACGGGUACGGGUGUUGGAAGACAUUGCCCAGAGAUGGACUCUGAGACAUGAGUCCAGGUUCUACGGAACGCAGCAGGCGCGAAAACUCCGCAAUGUACGAAAGUACGACGGGGGAAUUCUGAGUGCUUACGCCUUGCGUAGGCUGUUUUCUUGUCUAAAAAACAAGGAGAGUAAGGGCUGGGUAAGACGGGUGCCAUCUCGUGCAAUUCUGCACUUAUUGUGUUCGUUGCACGAAGCACAAGCCGCCGCGGUAAUACCCGCGGCCCGAGUGGUGCUCAUUAUUAUUGAGCCUAAAACGUCCGUAGCCGGUUUAAUAAAUUCUUGGGUAAAUCAUAUCGCUUAACGAUAUGAAUUCUGAGAACACUGCUAAACUCGGGAAUGGGAGAGGCCAGAGGUACUUUCAGGGUAGGGGUAAAAUCCCGUAAUCCUGAGAGGACCACCGGUGGCGAAGGCGUCUGGCUAGAACAUAUUCGACGGUAAGGGACGAAGCCCUGGGGCGCAAACGGGAUUAGAUACCCCGGUAGUCCAGGGUGUAAACGCUGUAGAUUUGGUGUUGGAAAUCCUACGGGGAUUCCCAGUGCCGGAGAGAAGUUGUUAAAUCUACUGCUUGGGGAGUACGGUCGCAAGACUGAAACUUAAAGGAAUUGGCGGGGGAGCACCGCAACGGGUGGAGCGUGCGGUUUAAUUGGAUUCAACGCC
rnacentral:rRNA from 1 species